CUGACUUAGCGGCGGACGGGUGAGUAACGCGUGGGUAACCUGCCUUACACUGGGGGAUAACAGUUAGAAAUGACUGCUAAUACCGCAUAAGCGCACAGGGCCGCAUGGUCCGGUGUGAAAAACUCCGGUGGUGUAAGAUGGACCCGCGUCUGAUUAGGUAGUUGGUGGGGUAACGGCCCACCAAGCCGACGAUCAGUAGCCGACCUGAGAGGGUGACCGGCCACAUUGGGACUGAGACACGGCCCAAACUCCUACGGGAGGCAGCAUG
rnacentral:rRNA from 1 species